UCUUCCUAAAGUGAAACUGUAGCCAUCCACCUGCCCUCUCAUCCUGGUUUCAGGUGAGGAAUUAUGAAUUGUGGGUGUUGUAGUCUUCUGCCUUUUAGGAUUUCUGGUUGGGCAGCCUGGAGCUACACUGGGAGGACUUCGAGUCCCAGGUGGCUCUGUAAGCUGCAGUUCAGGUGCCACACGCAGAGCAAGACAUGUUUGAAGAGAGCCCUUGGUUUACGCAGAGUGACUUUCAUUCACUAACAUGAUGUUCCUGAACUGAAGAGGCUUGGGUUCAUUUCCACAACUUUUGAAGAAAAAAGAAAAGCUGGUUUCCCUGCCUCUGUCAUUAUUGAGCAGUGUGUCAGAACCUGCUUUCCACUUCCUGUGGAUAGAAAGACCUCAUAUGGUUUCUAUUUUUUCUUACUGGACCCUGAGUGCCACAGUAGGUGCUGUGUUGCUGCUAGUCAUUUGCAGAGAUGGAUAAAAUGUUCACUAAGAAAAAAUGUUCAGAUAAGUGAAACUGGUGUGACAGAAAGUUCCGCAGUUGAUUUUGAUGCAGAGGACUAGUUGAGGACCACUACUUUACACUAAACUCCUUAGGGCAACCGGUUAGAGGGCUGGAAGCAAGACCAUCACAAGUUCUGGAACAGCAGCAGCCCAAGAGGUCCUGACCUGGCACCAAGUGGUGAUGUGGACACAACUCUGAGGCUCCUUCAAGUUUCUCCAGCUGAACACAAGGAACCCACCAGCUCCCAUGAAGCAGUGUGGGUUUCAGCAGAGGGACACACUACUCCCAACUCAAUAUUUCACUGUUUUAAAUAAAAAGGGGAAAUGGAGAGGAAGGGAAAGGCAGAGCUCCUUCUGAAAGGUUGGAAGUUCCUUUGGGCUGCAAGGUGAGGGGGCUCAAUCUUUCAGGCUGAUUUAAUAAAAUGAAGAAGACAGUGAUAGACAGUUUUAUUUAUUUCAUUCCAAAUGGUUUCCUUUGUAUUUAAU